GGAAGGAUAUUUCAAAGUAUAAAUUUAUGGCAAUUGUGUACAUCCAGAAGGAAUAUGUUUGCAGCGCUAGUAUCGUAUCAGGCUCGCAUGCCUUGACUGCUGCACAUUGUGUGUAUUUCAAAGAGAAUGAUCCCUCUAGUGUAACGAUCCGUGGAGGUUCUAGUGACAUUUUCAAAGGAGGCAUUUUAUUCCAAGUGGCAAAAAAAACUGUUAGUCCAAAUUAUAUGCGCACCGGUAGCAUUGCACGUGAUGUGUUGGAAAACCAAACAUAGCACCAAUUUCGUUUGCCACGAGUGCAGAGCUACCUAGCGGUACGCGUUGCUACGCACUUGGAUGGGGACGAACAAACUUCGAUGAGGAGAAUUUAUCCACAAAAUUGCUGUACGCAGAAUUUAAACUUGUGUUGACUACUGAUUGUAGGAAAGCAUAUUCUGCGUAAUAUGCGGUAAAGCUAAGAAUUCUGAGGUGUGUGAAGGCGACAGUGGUGGACCGUUGGUGUGUGAUAACAAAUUGACUGGAAUAACUUUCUUCGUUUAUGGUACAUGCAAAGGAAUUCUACCAGCGAGAUUUACGAAAAUUAUGAGUCCUUCAAUUCGUCUUUUUAUCAGAAUUGUGACAAAGUUGUGAAAUAAUUUUUAAACUGCAAAAAAAAUGAAAAAAUUGACUUGUUUUUUAUGGAUUGGCAUGUUGGAUUUUUAAACAGUAUUAUGUACAAUAAACCACGUCGAAAGCGGUGAAGGUUAGUUUAAGAAUGAUUAUAAUAAAUAAAAUAUAAAUGUA